UGUGGUUUAGAUCCCCCCCUCAUCUUUUGAAGUAACAAGUUUCUCUCUCUUUUCUUGCAUGCCGCUUUUACUAGGAGACAACAUGUUCAAUUGGUCAAAUUGCUGAAUUUGGAGAUCUUAAAUGAAGCUAAUCAAAGUUUCGGAGCUGACGACAAUGCUUUCCAAUAGUGGUUGAUUCCGACGAAGCUCGAGUCUUAUUUUGCUGUCCUGAAGGAGGUAACAUCUUUUUUAUUUUCAGCUGUUAUUAUCAUUUUCUUUGUUUC